CGCCGCGCCGCCUCCGGCGCCGGGAGCCCCCCGCUCGUCAGCCCCGGCACCGCAGAGCGCUCCCGCUCCCGCCCCCGCCCGCCGGGCGGGGCGGCCGCGCAGCGCCGCGCACAGUAACAGUUUUGCCGGGUAAAGCGCGGGAUCUUACUUUGCUGAGAGGGGAAACAUUGCUGACGCGUAUAGCAAGCGGCCCUGCAGACGUUCACCGGAGAGAGAGACUAGAACAUGGAGAAUGCUCCAUCAGCCUCAUUGUGGCAGCUGAAGCUCAUUUCCUCAGUGGGAAUGCAAGACUCCAUGAACAACCAUCACUGACACAUUCCCAAGAGUCACAGCUCCAUCAGUGUGAGAUCUUGUUCUCCAAAUUCUUGUCUUCACAAUUCCCUUUACAUCUCCACCUGCUCAGCCUUUUCAUGUGAACCCGAGACCAAAUGCCCUCUGCAGUGUUGGAAUGAAACAGAAGAGCUCACCUGCCUCUGAAAUGGCCUAAGAGUGGAAGACGCUUUCUUUGCCCAAUAAGGUCUCCAAGAUAGGGGCAGAGCACCAGUUGUUGGAGCCAACACCACCCGAGAAACUGCUUGUGACCAACUAGUUACUUGUCUGAAGAACUUCAGCAAGAACUCCUGUUUCCUCCUCCCCUCAUUCCAGCUACAUUUUUCCUUUCCUUCUCUAUGCCUCCAUAUUUUCCUCAAAGUCUAGACUGUCAUUCACACCUUCCUAAUGGUCUGCAGAAUUAAUUCUGUCCUCUUUGGCAAGACAACUUGGCAAAGUUAAUGACUUUGAUACAGUGGUUCUCAGAGAUUUAUUUUAAUAAGUUUUUACUAAUCCUCUUGUUCUUCACAAAAAUUUAAUUUCAAAACAUUGAAUGCAUCUUCCAAGUUUGGGAUAUUUACAUAUUUGUGUACAUUUCCAGACUCUGAUAUGAGUAUUAUACAUUUGUCAUAGCUGCUAAAUAUUGAUGUCCUUAUCUUGAAAGUCCAACCUCAUCCAACUUCACAUAGUAACAGGGUUAUUCUAACACUUGUGAUUUCUGGGCCUCUUAUCCUAUCUAAAAUAGCACAAAACAUAAGAUUGCACUUGGACUUUAACAUCCUCUAAACCAGAACAGAGGCCACCAUGACAUUUCAGAUUAAGUAUUACUUUCUUAUUUUCUUACAAUGAAGAAGAUAUGCAAUAAUUUUUGCAAUUUCUUUUUGCUAACUUUUGGACUAUUUGUACCUUUAUUAAAGCAUUUUGUGACUAAUAGGAGAGAAAUAUUAGAUGGAUUUUGAUCCCUCCCUCUCCCUAUAUCACUGUUUAUUGACUAAAAUAAAGUGCGAGGAUCAGCUUCAGCUUGUUCAAACUUCAAUUAAGUUCAGGUAAAACAUUGAGUUCAAGGUACUAACAGCUAAAGGCCAAAUUUACAAAGUUUUUAGGUGCUUAAAGAGGAGGUAGGAAAGGUACAGGAUUUUCAGAAAUGUUUAAUUCCCUUGUGUAAUUUUGCCUCCUGGGGGUCACCUCAUCUUUUGCUGUAAAUCCCACUGGAUGUAUGAGAAGGUGUUCUCACUUCCUCCUCCCCUGUGCAUGAGGGAAAUGAUUUACAGCCAUCAGGAUGCUCUUUCUCCUACUAGAUCUUAAUAUGUCCCCAAUUCCCCCACAUAAUCAUUCCCUCAUCUUUACUUAUCCAGCCCAUUUUAACAAAGAUGAGCAAGGCGGGCUGCUCGUGGGAGCGCCUUUCAGGGCAAGCCUGAAGAACGUGAAGUUCAGCAGACAUCAGGAAUGAGGAAUUAGGGGCAGUAACCUCUUCAACCAUCCCUCAGCAACAGCUGAAGGAGGAUGCAGUCAGACUCUAAACACUUCAGAAGUCUGGCCCCUGAGUUGUAUGUGAUCUGGGCCCUUAUUCUCCAAUAUAAUAAUGUCACUAUAAAAGCAGCCUUACCAUAAGUAGCACAUGAAGCAUUUUCAAUGAGGAUAAAAGAAGCAUGUGAAAAAUUUUGGGAAGAGUUAACUGAAAAAAAUAAAAUUUUGUGAAAUAUUAAUUUGGUCAAACUCUUUCCUCAAGUGAGAAUACAAGCUAAUGACCUGCUGAUUGAUAUCAAUUUCAUCUUUGAUAUACUUUUAGAUUAUGAAAGUGUGGUACAUAAGGUUGGAAAUUAAUUUCACAGCUAGCUGUGCCUCCAUUUCCAUAGCUUAAUUGGGCAAUAUGGUACUAUGGAUCUUAUCACUAGCAGAAAUUUAUUCAAAUUAAUAUUUUCACUGACUACAGUUUGAACUGCAGGAAAACAGCUUUUAUAUGCAUACUUUGGCCCAAACACUUCAAUACAAUGAUAUACAUAGCUGUCGCAAGUAUUCCAAGUACAACUCAUGCUAAGGUAAGUGCAUGCUUUUUUUUUUUUUUUUUUUUUUUAACUUUUUAAAAAAUGAACUUGGAAUCAAUGCUCUAGUCCUAUAAGCACAAGCUUGUGUUCUCCAGAGCUGAUCUAGCAAAACACUUAAAACCUAUACUAAUAUAGGACCGGUAAUAUGCUUAACAUUAAGCUCUGAUUUAGUGAAAUGCUUUUAGCACUUGCUCAAGUGUAUUUUGUAAGAUAAGCAUAGUGAAGUAUUAAACUCUCACCACACAUUUUUCCAGGACUGUGGUCAAUGUUUGCCUCCAGCCAUAGCAUGACCUGGUUACUUAUGUGUUUGAAAGCUCCUGAAUAGACAAAAAGUCCAGCUCUCUGCUGGUGUAAUUGCACUGAUGGCACUGGAGUUACAACAUAGCUUCCAGCCCAUGGCUUUAAACACUGCCCAACACACACGUUUUGUAAGGUCGCACUGGAUCUAUAUAUUAUUGCUGUCACUGCAGGUGUUGUGGACUCAGAUUAGAUGAACGUUUAAGAACUUCGAUGUGGGUUUAGGUGGGCUUUCAAUGCUGAAAAGAAAACAAAAUUAAAAAAAAAAAAAAUAGCUGCCCAGACUUGCUUUGUAUAUUUAAUUUCUACCUAGAAUAAAUUAUGAUCCACCAACUUAUCUGUAGUUUAUUUGGCUUUGGGAACUAAUGAUUUUUAGAUGCACAUGGAAUUACUUUUUUUUAGAGAAGAAGAAUACAUUUUUCUUAGCAGUUUUAUUUAUAUGCUGUUAAGCCAACAAUCCAUUCUGUUUCCUUAAAAUCUUAAGGAAGUUGUUGCAGCAACUGUUAUGUAGCAGUUGAAUUUGCUAAAAGAUAAAUGUAAUAAUUCCAACUCUGGUCUAAACAUAAAAUUCAUACUAAUGUUGUGGGGGUUUUUCUCCCUUAUAUGCUUUGUGAUUUGUCUCAUGACAAUCCAUUCCAUAUUUCCCUCAUUAUUAUUCUCACAUUUUAUACAGCCUGGGUAUAUUGAAAUUCCCAUGUCCCAUUUCUAACUAUAUUUUCUCUUAUUUCCCAAUUAUAUUAUGUAUGGUAAAUUAGUAAGGACUAACGUAAACAGGAAGGUAUUAUUUUAUUUGAAGAGUGCUGUUCUGAUUCACCAAACAUUGUUUAUAACAUCAGCAAGGCUUCAUCUGUAAUACAGAACAGUAUGUAACUCAGUGUUGUUGUUUAUUAUUGAAUGUGCAAUUGAUGUAUUUCACAAAGGCAUCAGUAAUGAAGCAGACUGGAGAGACAACAACACCCAAGAUGCAUUGGCCCAAGACCUAUCAUCUUGCAGUAGAGCUUUCCUUUCAGAAAUAUAAAUACUGCGAUAAAACUGUGCGCCGUAUAAAUUCCUUCAUAAAGCUGUCUCUCCAUUGCCCAAAUUCAGGUGGUUACAUAAGUACGUGAAUCACGUUAAG